GAGCAGAGAGAGGAGAGAGAAAGCGGGAGCAGAGAGAGGAGAGAGAAAGAGGGAGCAGAGGAGCGAGAAAGAGGGAGCAGAGAGAGGAGAGAGAAAGAGGGAGCAGAGAGAGGAGAGAGAAAGAUAGAGCAGAGAGGAGAGAGAAAUAGAGAGCAGAGAGGAGAGAGAAAUAGAGAGCAGAGAGAGGAGAGAGAAAGAGAGAGCAGAGAGAGGAGAGAGAAAGAGGAGAGAGCAGAGAGAGGAGAAAGAAAGAGAGAGCAGAGAGGAGAGAGAAAGAGAGAGCAGAGAGAGGAAAGAGAAAGAGAGAGCAGAGAGAGGAGAGAGAAAGAGAGAGCAGAGAGAGGAGAGAGAAAGAGGGAGCAGAGAGAGGAGAGAGAAAGAGAGAGCAGAGAGAGGAGAGAGAAAGAUAGAGCAGAGAGGAGAGAGAAAUAGAGAGCAGAGAGAGCAGAGAGAGGAGAGAGAAAGAGGGAGCAGAGAGAGGAGAGAGAAAGAGGGAGCAGAGGAGCGAGAAAGAGGGAGCAGAGAGAGGAGAGAGAAAGAGGGAGCAGAGAGAGGAGAGAGAAAGAUAGAGGAGAGAGAAAUAGAGAGCAGACAGAGAGAGAAAGAGAGAGCAGAGAGAGGAGAGAGAAAGAUAGAGGAGAGAGAAAUAGAGAGCAGACAGAGAGAGAAAGAGGGAGCAGAGAGAGGAGAGAGAAAGAGAGGAGAAAGAAAGAGAGAGCAGAGAGAAAGAGAGAGCAGAGAGAGAAGAGAGAAAGAGGGAGCAGAGAGAGGAGAGAGAAAGAGAGAGCAGAGAGAGGAGAGAGAGGAGAGAGAAAGAGAUAGCAGAGAGAGGAGAGAGAAAGAGAGGGAGCAGAGAGAAGGGGGAAGAGAGAAAGAGGGAGCAGAGAGAGGAGAGAUAAAAAGAGGAGAGAGAAAGAGAGCAGAGAGCGGAGAGAGCAGAGAGAGGAGAGAGAAAGAUGGAAAGAAAGGGAGAAAGCUGCAGGGUCAACUGGGAUCUCUGUCAGGAUUUAGAGCUUUUCUUCAGGAGAGGAAAAGGAUUAAACUACAGAGGAACUCCCUCCAGCGUCCCUCGUCACUGCACUGUCUCUCCACCCUAAUAUCUCUGGCUUUACCCUGUAAAUAUACGCCAUGCCAGAUAAGAGCCGUAUAGUAUGGAAGACAUUUCCCUGCUGCGUCUCCUACUGCCUGCAGGCUGUGAGAGUAGUGGGCCCUAUAGUGAGGGGGCGUCAGUAAUAUUCUAGCUCCCUGCUUGUCCAGUUCAUUUUACUCUGUCAAUCUGAGCAUCUCCUCCACAGCGCUGCCACAGUCAUUACAUAAGACAGAACGUUUUCCAGUGUAACAGUUUACAAUCUCCUUCAGUCUGGUGGGAGCAGGCCCGGAGACCUAGGGCCUCCUAGCUUACGCUGCUAGUCAUAACACCUCCAUGAGAUCUCACAGGAAGAAAAUACACUACCUCUCAGUGGAAUAGACAUGUCUUUUCUCUCACAGAUGAAGCUCCUAGGUAAGGUCUGUGAGACCGAGAGGAUCUCUUUGUGCCGUACUGUGUAUGUACACGUGUGCGUGUGUGUCGGGGUCUCUGUUACGGAAAUGUGGGGCCGGAAAUAUUACCGGCAACAAUUUCACUUACCAGACAUUUGAGAAAUUUACCGGACCCAUAUUCAUUGGUGUGUGAGACAGAAAGAGUGUGUGUGAG
ensembl:lncRNA